ensembl:piRNA 21ur-15356 ncRNA
UACUUCCUUUGUGAUCUCCUA